CUUAAUAUAUUCACUCUUUCUCUUUUUUCCAAAAGCCACAACAACACCAUAGCUGUUCUCCUCAUUCUAAUACUACCACAAAAAAUCCAAGGUAAGGUUGAUCCAAAUGAUUUUCUUGUUUUUUGUUCUAAUUUCAGUGCUGAUAUUUAUUUUAUAGAUCUUUUCGUUAAUUCUAUUGAUAAGGGUUAUAGUAUUGUGGAUAAAAUGGAUCAACAUGAGCAACAGAACCGUCGUUGCAACAACAAGGUGAAGAGAAAGAACAAGUUAAUGAAAAGAUGUUGUUCAUAUCCCUGUCGUGCAAUAUCUUACAUGUUUAGAGGUUUUGGUAGAUGCGUAUUUGUCACAUGUUACCCUGUUGUUCAGUGUUUUGGUUUAGAUGAACACAAACAUAGCCACCAUAGAAAACACUUUGAUUGGUGA